rnacentral:rRNA from 1 species
GCCCAAGAGAUCGGGAUAACACCUGGAAACAGAUGCUAAUACCGGAUAACAACAGAUGGUGCCUAUCAACUGUUUAAAAGAUGGUUCUGCUAUCACUCUUGGAUGGACCUGCGGUGCAUUAGCUAGUUGGUAGGGUAACGGCCUACCAAGGCGAUGAUGCAUAGCCGAGUUGAGAGACUGAUCGGCCACAUUGAGACUGAGACACGGCCCAAACUCCUACGGGAGGCAGCAGCA